rnacentral:misc_RNA from 1 species
UGCAGGUAAUUUUUUAAAUCCAUAUUUUAUAUAUUGUUAAUGAGUUAUUCAAAAUUUUUAUGAAUUAUGAUUUGGGUUAUAUAGAUCUUAAGUUCUGUUUGAAUUGUGGAAAUGUAAUUCUUGUACUCUGAACUGUCAUAAAUGCCUUUCUAUGAAUAAUCCCCAUUGAUUAUGUUAACUGUUGGAAUAUGCAUAUCAAAUUGGCAAAUAUCAUCACAUUUAACAUGUCCAAGCCAGAUGUAUUCUUGUACUAAAUAGUUUAUUUGCCAUUAUGCCAUAAUUUUUUGCGCUCCACCUUAAGAGGACUAGGUGGCAUUAACAUGAUCUGGUGUUAGCCUCAACUAUAAUAAGACUGUCAGAGGGGGCUAAUGGCACAAAAAAAUGAUGAGAGAAUUUCCCAGUGAAAAAAAAAUCUUAUUUUUAUAGUAAAAUUUAUGCCUUUGCUCUUAAAUCUUAUUUUAUUGUGUUACCAACAUGCAAGGGGCUUUAGAAAGGGAAAAGUGUGACAACAAUUUGGAAUCCACUUUGUAUGUGACCAUUCCAAGCAAGGGAUUGCAUUUGCUCUUUGACUUGAAAUGAUGCAGUAAAACAUAAUGAUACUAAUUAGUUAAGGAUUUGUAAUAUACUCUGUUGAGGAGGAGAACACAAAUGAAUAUGCACUUCAUAUAUUAAACAAGUCUGGUUGGAUUGAUUCUGUGAACUCAAUAAGCAUGCUUCUAUUGUCUAUUUAUAUUUUUUACAUUUCUUUUUGAAUUUAUAUUCUUUUUC